AGAGACAGUCUGAGAAGAGGCAAAGAGAAUGCAAGGACUAAUCAAUCCAAGAAUACAGAAAACUUGCCUAGGCCAGUUAGUUAGUCUCCACUUAUUUUGUAAAGCAGAGAGAGGAGGUGUUCAUUUCAACCUCAGCCAGUUGCAACAAAGUCCUUGUUUCCAUAAAGUUACUCUGGAGAAGGAAGUGCCUUCUAGGUGCUAGAAGCUGAUGUCUGCCAAAAGCCCACACAAGAUGUAAGCCGGGAAGAGUAAUUGGUACCCUGAAAAACAAGCCGGUUAUCCAACUCUCAGUUACUGACAAUAUCAUGUGAGUGCUUAUAUGAGGGCAAAUAAUAAGCAUGCACAUAAAAUCAAGAAUCCCUAAAGGGACAAAUAUCAAUAGCUAAAGUAUUGUUUUAAUUGUACUGAGGACAUCAUUUAUGUUAUUAAUGAAGUAUUUAGAGCACAGGCAUCAGAGGGACCCUUAAAUUCAUGUUCAGAAAUCAGACCCUUAGGAUACGUUAUCUCAUAAGUUGCUGAAGUUUUAAAUGGCUUUGACAGUGAAACCAACUAGAGCAACAUUAUCCACUUAAGACUGCUUGAUAUUUUAGAGGGUGUCAUAGAUUCUCUUUUCCAAGUAAAGAUGCAAAAAAACUGUCUGGCCAUGUUAACUAGCAUUCGCUUUUAGAACAGCCAGUCUUCUCCUGAGUAUCUCCAGAUAUUUUUAUUUAUAGAAUGGUUUUCCCACUCCUUCUGAACUCUGGGACUCAAGAGCUACAAUUUAAGAGGGUGUUCUUAAAGCUUUUCACAGUUUGUCAUCUCACAUUGCUUCACCUGAUGAGGAGUCGAUAGAUAGCACCUCAAAAAGGUAGAAAGAAGCACAGAUAGGGAUUGGAAUACACAUGACAAAGGAGAACACAGAAUGGAAUUCCAAAACGCUUUGGGAGACCUGGAAAUCCAAGUUAUUCUGAGAGAAGACUGAUGAAAAGGAAUGCAUACAAGCAUAAGAACACCCACAAAAAGUAGCCCAGUGCUUAGUGACUGGGUUGCUCUUUCCCAUCUACCAGUCAAGAAGGUGCUGUCCCCGGUUGAAUACGUAUGUACUGAAACAGAGGAUUUCACAUUCCAGAACCCAUAAUUCAUCUCUGACUUAAUCUCGAGCAAAGCAUUGACGUGAAUUACACAAACAGGAAAAAAGGUGGAGCCCAAAUAGAAGAAAAAUAAAUAGUUCUAUCAGUACAAAGGAAUCAUACAAAGAAUCAUCACAAUAAAUUUGAUAUAAUUUUAUAGCGUGUGUCUGUGUAUUUAAUUUUUAUAACCAAAGAGAUAAAGCAUAGCAAUUUUAUCAAUAUCCCUUAAUUUUUUUUUGGCACAUGAUUCUUUGAAAAAUCAAUCUACUCUGAAGUAUGGAUUUUCAGAAAUAUCCCUUUGGCAUUGUUCUGAUUUGCCUUCUCUACCCCAAAGUCCCUAACAAUCAAAGACUGGGGUUUCAUUUGUAGUUCUGUUGCUUUAGACACAUAUUUAAAAUUAGAAGCAACCAGUGAAUGAAAUGAAUUUGCCAAUUUUUAAAAAAUGCCAUAAUUCAAAAUAUGAGAUGAGUCAAAGGGAGGCAUUGCCCAGAAAGAACAGACACACAUAUGCAACACACACACACACACACACACACACACACACACACACACACAGUGAAAAGAAAACUAUAUCAUUAGGCAAGUUUGUUCACUUUCCAACAACAAAUGAGUCAUUCAUCAGUUCCUAUGCCACAUGUAUUACAGGACUUGAGUGUAAAAUAGUAUUUAUCUUUCAACAACAACGAAAAGCCCCUGAGGUCUCACAUUACCUCAGUUUUCCUUUACGUGUCUAAAUGUACUAAGUCAGCUCUCUCCCUUUCUAAUAGCUGAUCUGGGGAACUUGAAUAGACAAGAAAAAACAGCCAAUUGUAUUUCUGCUUUACACAAAUAACAGCUACAGUUGCUCCCCUUGCCCGAGGCCCUUUCCCCUUUCCCUUUCACUGGGAGCUAGUAAAUAAAUAAAUACAUUUUAAGAAAUAAUGACUCAAAGCCUCUUAGAGAGCCAGGUGUGGGCCAAGGUGCUGCCUAAAACUUUAGAAGAAAGCUUCUAGAAAAACACAGCACAUAAUGACCCAACAGUUGCCUCAGGGAACGCCCAGCAGCAUUAUUUUGGGGGUCUGCUGGUUCUGUUUUACUUGGGGAAGGAGCUUGGUAAGGUAAACUUUUCCUGUCAGACCUUUAAGCUUUCUGUUCCCAUGUGGUCUGUGUGACCUCACAAUCUCUGGCUUCUGGAUCAAAAGAUCUGAAUUUUAUGUUAUUAAAGUACACAAAAGAUGAAUAAAUGAAGAGAUAUAUCAGCUUCAUAUUUAUUAAUAUAUAUAAUGCAAAAAUAGAAUGUGUCCAUACUGGUCAAUUGUGUGGGAUGUACACUCAUAUUUGUUAUAUUAUCUACUACACCUUUCUAUAUCUUUUAACUUUUAAAACAAAGACAAAUCAAUAAAGGGAGCUUCACGUUUCUGUAGAAAAAAAUGCUAUUUCACUUCAUGGAUCCAUGAAAUAAAGAUCAUUGUAUUGUUUCUCCAUAAUAAAAAGUUUGCCAUGAGUAUUCCAUUCCUAGAACCAAGACAGAAGUUAUUCAUGUGGAGUGA
rnacentral:lncRNA from 1 species